CAGCCGCCGCGGGAAUACGAAGGGUGCAAGCGUUAAUCGGAAUUACUGGGCGUAAAGCGUGCGUAGGCGGUUUGUUAGGUCUGCUGUGAAAUCCCCGGGCUCAACCUGGGAAUGGCAGUGGAUACUGGCAAGCUAGAGUGUGUCAGAGGAUGGUGGAAUUCCCGGUGUAGCGGUGAAAUGCGUAGAGAUCGGGAGGAACAUCAGUGGCGAAGGCGGCCAUCUGGGACAACACUGACGCUGAGGCACGAAAGCGUGGGGAGCGAACAGGAUUAGAUACCCGCGUAGUCCCUGUCUCUUAUAC
rnacentral:rRNA from 1 species